AUUGAACGCUGGCGGCAGGCCUAACACAUGCAAGUCGAGCGAGCGGCGGACGGGGGAGUAAUGUAUGGGGACUGCCCGAUAGAGGGGGAUAACUACUGGAAACGGUAGCUAAUACAGCAUAAUAUCGGAAAACCCAUAUGGGAUUAGCGAGUAGGUGAGGUAAUGUCUCACCUAGGCGACGAUCCCUAGCUGGUCUGAGAGGCUGAUCAGCCAAACUGGGACUGAGACAAGGCCCGGACUGCCAGGUAGGCAGCAGUGGGGAAUAUUGAACAAUGGGCGCAAUCCUGAUGCAGCCAUGCCGCGUGUAUGAAGAAGGCCCUAGGGUUGUAAAGUACUUUCAGUCGGGAGGCGUUACCGACAGAAGAAGCACCGGCUAACUCCGUGCCAGCAGCCGCGGUAAUUC
rnacentral:rRNA from 1 species